rnacentral:lncRNA from 8 species
AUGCUUCCAAUGACACCAUCCCCCGUAGUGUGGAGUACUUGGUACGAGAGACUUAUAACUGGUUUUCAUUGUCUCCAAAGCGCAGGGAGGCCUACAAGGCCAUAUAUGAGACCAUCAACUGUGGGGAGAAACCUUUACAGAUGUGUAAAGGUGUGUGUAAAGGUGUGUGCCACACGUUGGCUCUCCAUUGAACCUGUGGUUUCACGCAUUUUGGACCAGUGGGAGGAGCUUAGGCUGCAUUUCACAGUCACCAAGUCCAGUGAACACUGCUACAUGGCUGAGGUUUUAUACUCCAUGUACAGUGAUCCUCAAAACAUAUUGUAUCUGACUUUUUUGAAGUCAUUGCUGGGUGAGGUACAGUUGGCCAUCAAGGCUUUUGAGGGAGAGCAAGUAGAUCCUCUUAAGCUACUUGACAGCUUGGCUAGCCUGAUCAAGUCUGUGAGCAGCAGGAUGCUGAAUCUACUGGCAAAUGUUGAUGUACUCAAAGGGCCAAUAGAUGGAUACAUCAGUCCCAAACCGUACCUUGGUUACCUUUUUGAGACAAAGGCAGCUGAGCUCCACUUUGCGCCUGAGGAUGAAAACAAUAUCCGAAAGCGGUGUGUAGCCUUCACCAUCUCCCUCACUAAUGAGUUGAGGGUGAGACUGCCGGACAACAUUGAAGCAUUGCAGUACAUGUCAGUUUUCAAAGUGGAGGAAACUCUAAAGCACAAUAAGAGCCCUGGAGAAAAAAAAAAAAUAGCCAAGCUCCUUGGCGACUCAAAUGCAGAGAUAGACAAGAUUGUCCAGCAAUGGUGUGCCAUCUAUCUUAGUAAAUGGAAUGAGACAAAAAACACACUGGGCUUCUGGAGUGAGAUUUGGAAGUUCAAGGACGCAGCUGAUAUCAACCUGUUUCAAGAACUUGCCAUGGCUGCUGUGUCUGUGUUGUCCUUGCCACACUCGAAUGCUGAAGUCGAUAGAGUAUUCAGCCAGAUGAGUGUGGUAAAAAGCCAACUUAGAAAUCGGAUGUCCUUGCAGACCCUUAACUCCAUCCUGUACAUUUGA